rnacentral:tRNA from 2 species
UGCAGGAUGGACGAUUGGCAAGUCGCCUUGACUCUGAAUCAAGGAGAGGUUGGUUCAACCCCAACUCCUGCAUCCA